rnacentral:misc_RNA from 1 species
GGAGCUUUUUUCAACUCCCAACAUCGAAAUGUAGUUUCAUUCCGAUAUAUCGACUGAAAAAUGGCUUGCCAGAAUUCGUCGACGCUGUUCGAUUGAUUUUGCGUUUCCAAAUCACAGUUUUUUUUUUUUUUUUCCAUCCUCUCACCCUGUAUAGUCGAUAUGUAUUACAUGUGGUGGUCACCGAGUCAUUUUCUCAUGGGGACUGCUGGGCGAUGACUAGGCACAGUGAGUUCCGCCGCCUUAGCUGGUACGGGCUUUGCCAUAUGAAACGAAUAAUACAAAUAUCUCAUGGUAUAUGUCGACCCAAAACGGCUUGAUCAUUAUCGACGUGG